CCGGCACGGGUGAGUAACGCGUAUGCAACCUACCUACUACAGGGAAUAGCCCGAAGAAAUUCGGAUUAAUGCCGCAUAAUACAGGGGCACCGCAUGGUGAUAUUUGUUAAAGAUUAAUUGGUAGUAGAUGGGCAUGCGUUCCAUUAGCCAGUUGGUGAGGUAACGGCUCACCAAAGCAACGAUGGAUAGGGGAACUGAGAGGUUUAUCCCCCACACUGGUACUGAGACACGGACCAG
rnacentral:rRNA from 1 species